rnacentral:lncRNA from 1 species
CAUUAAGUUCUGCUCGUGCAUCAGCUGUGGUUGCUGCUCACAAUCGAUAUCUUUCCACAUCUACAAAUAUCAAACAAGAAUUACAAAUUGCAACUCAAUACAUUCAUGAGAAGGACAAUCUUCAUGAAUCGAGUAUUUCUGUUGAGCCUGAUCCCGAUGAUAGCAACCUCAAAUAUGAAUCUGAUCCUGGUAGCAUCAUGGUGAAAUAUGAACCUGAUCCUGAUGACAGCAUCACAAAAGAUGAACCUGAUCCUGAUGACAGCAUCAUGAAAGUUGAACCUGAUCCUUAUGACAGCAUCAUGAAAGAUGAGCCUGAACCUGAUGACAGCAUUGUGAAAGAUGAACCUGAUCCUGAUGACAGGAUUACGAAAGAUAAACCCGAAUCUGAUGAUAGCAUCAUGAAAGAUGAUCCUGAUGACAGUAUUACAAAAGAUGGACCAGAUCCUGACACCAUCAUAAAAGAUGAACCUGAUCUUGAUAAAAGUAUUGCGAAAGAUGAACCCGAUCCUGAUGACAACAUCUUGAAAGAUGAACCUGAUCCUGAUCCUGAUGAAAGUAUCACGAAAGAUGAACCCGAUCCUCGUGAAUCUAUCACGAAAGAUGAACCCGAUCCUCGUGAAUCUUUGGGGAAAAUGGUAGAUUAUCUUAAGCAUGGAAGCUAUAAUGCUGAAACUAUCCGUGGUAAAUCGCUUCUAACAGUGGACGAUGUUAUGCAUGUUGAUUAUUAUGCACAUUCCGAAUCAUUGU